rnacentral:rRNA from 1 species
AUACGGAGGGUGCAAGCGUUACUCGGAAUCACUGGGCGUAAGGCGCGCGCAGGCGGGCUGAUAAGUUGGAUGUGAAAGCCUACGGCUCAACCGUAGAAUUGCAUCCAAAACUGUCAGUCUAGAGUGUGGGAGAGGAAGAUGGAAUUAGUUGUGUAGGGGUAAAAUCCGUAGAGAUAACUAGGAAUACCUAAAGCGAAGGCAAUCUUCUGGAACACUACUGACGCUGAGGCGCGAAGGCGUGGGGAGCAAACAGGAUUAGAAACCCCAGUAGUCC